rnacentral:rRNA from 1 species
UUUAAACUUGAGAGUUUGAUCAUGGCUCAGAACGUACGCUGGCGGCACGCCUUAUACAUGCAAGUCGAACGAAGUAGCAAUACUUAGUGGCAGACGGGUGAGUAACAUGUGGGUAUCUUCCCUUUGGUGAGGAAUAACACGAGGAAACUUGUGCUAAUACCUCAUAAGUCUUUACGGAGAAAGCUUUAUGCGCCAAUGGAUGAGCCCGCACUUGAUUAGUUUGUUGGUGGGGUAAUAGCCUACCAAGACUUUGAUCAAUAGCUGAUUUGAGAGGAUGAUCAGCCACAUUGGGACUGAGACACGGCCCAAACUCCUACGGGAGGCAGCAGUAGGGAAUCUUGCACAAUGGAGGAAACUCUGAUGCAGCGAUGCCGCGUGAGUGAAGAAGGCCUUUGGGUUGUAAAGCUCUUUCGUCGGGGAAGAAAAUGACUGUACCCGAAUAAGAAGGUCCGGCUA